GACGAACGCUGGCGGCGUGCCUAAUACAUGCAAGUAGAACGCUGAAGAGAGGAGCUUGCUCUUCUUGGAUGAGUUGCGAACGGGUGAGUAACGCGUAGGUAACCUGCCUGGUAGCGGGGGAUAACUAUUGGAAACGAUAGCUAAUACCGCAUAAAAUUGAUUAUUGCAUGAUAAUUAAUUGAAAGAUGCAACUGCAUCACUACCAGAUGGACCUGCGUUGUAUUAGCUAGUUGGUGAGGUAACGGCUCACCAAGGCGACGAUACAUAGCCGACCUGAGAGGGGGGACGGCCACACUGGGAAUGGGACACGGGCCAGAAUCCUACGGGAGGCAGCAGGAGGGGAUCUUCGGCAAUGGGGGGAACCCUGACCGGGCAACGCCGCGGGGGUGAAGAAGGUUUUCGGAUCGUAAAGCUCUGUUGUAAGAGAAGAACGGGUGUGGGAGUGGAAAGUUCACACUGUGACGGUAUCUUACCAGAAAGGGACGGCUAACUACGUG
rnacentral:rRNA from 1 species